rnacentral:rRNA from 1 species
GACGAACGCUGGCGGCGUGCUUAACACAUGCAAGUCGAACGGAAAGGCCCUGCUUUUGUUGGGUUCUCGAGUGGCGAACGGGUGAGUAACACGUGAGUAACCUGCCCUUGUCUUUGGGAUAACUUUAGGAAACUGGGGCUAAAACCGGAUAGGAGCUCCUGCUCCAUGGUGGGGGUUGGUAAGUUUCGGCGUUUGGGUAUGGACUCGCGGCGUAUCAGAUUGUUGGGGCGGUAGUGGCUGACCAAGGCUUUGACGGGUAGCCGGCGUGAGCGGGUGACCAGCGACAAGAGUACUGAGAUACGGACCAGACUCAAAGCGGGGGCAACAGUCGGGAAGAUUACACAAUGGGCGCACGUCUGAUGCAGAAACGUCGCGUGCGGGAUGACGGCCUUCGGGUGGUGAACCGAUGUCACCUGUGACGAAGCGUGAGUGACGGUACUGGGUAGAGAAGCACCGGCUAACUACGUG